rnacentral:rRNA from 1 species
UGGGGAAUAUUGGACAAUGGGCGCAAGCCUGAUCCAGCCAUGCCGCGUGAGUGAUGAAGGCCUUAGGGUUGUAAAGCUCUUUUGGCGGGGACGAUAAUGACGGUACCCGCAGAAUAAGUCCCGGCUAACUUCGUGCCAGCAGCCGCGGUAAUACGAAGGGGACUAGCGUUGUUCGGAAUCACUGGGCGUAAAGCGCACGUAGGCGGAUAUGUCAGUCAGGGGUGAAAUCCCGGGGCUCAACCUCGGAACUGCCUUUGAUACAGCAUGUCUUGAGUCCGAUAGAGGUGGGUGGAAUUCCUAGUGUAGAGGUGAAAUUCGUAGAUAUUAGGAAGAACACCGGUGGCGAAGGCGGCCCACUGGAUCGGUACUGACGCUGAGGUGCGAAAGCGUGGGGAGCAAACA